GUGUGCUAGGGGGAGUCAACAGGAUGGGUUGUGUGCGGUGGACAGUUGACGGCGGUCGGUGCAACAGGUGGUGGCUGAACGGUGGUUAUGGUGGUGAUGGGGUGUAGGAGGUGGUGUAGUUGGUGAGGGUGGUGGAAAACGGUGGUAGAAAUGGCGGUAGUGGGUGGUUGAGACGGGUGGCAGGUGGAUGGAUGGAUGGUGGUAGU
rnacentral:lncRNA from 1 species